rnacentral:rRNA from 1 species
UAGGGAAUCUUCCGCAAUGGACGAAAGUCUGACGGAGCAACGCCGCGUGAGUGAAGAAGGAUUUCGGUUCGUAAAACUCUGUUGUUAGGGAAGAAAAAAUGUAUAGUAACUAUAUACAAAAGAGACGGUACCUAACCAGAAAGCCACGGCUAACUACGUGCCAGCAGCCGCGGUAAUACGUAGGUGGCAAGCGUUGUGCGGAAUUAUUGGGCGUAAAGAGCGCGCAGGUGGUUUAGAAAGUCUGAUGUGAAAGCCCCCGGCUCAACCGUGGAGGGUCAUUGGAAACUAAUAAACUGGAGUGCAGGAGAGAAAAGUGGAAUUCCUAGUGUGGCGGUGAAAUGCGUAGAGAUUAGGAGGAACACCGGUGGCGAAAGCGGCUUUUUGGCCUGCAACUGACACUGAGGCGCGAAAGCGUGGGGAGCAAACAGG